rnacentral:rRNA from 1 species
ACGGUCCUAAGGUAGCGAAAUUCCUUGUCAGGUAAGUUCUGACCCGCACGAAAGGCGUAAUGAUUUGGGCGCUGUCUCGACAAUGUACUCGGCGAAAUUGUAGUACUAGUGAAGAUGCUAGUUACCUGCGACAAGACAGAAAGACCCCAUGGAGCUUUACUGUAGCUUGAUACUGGGUUUCGAUAAUUUAUGUACAGGAUAGGUGGGAGGCGAAGAAGCAAUUGCGCCAGCAGUUGUGGAGUCAUCCUUGGGAUACCACCCUUAAGUUAUUGAAAUUCUAACCUGUAGUCCUGAGCGGGCUAGGGGACAAUGUCAGGCGGGCAGUUUGACUGGGGCGGUCGCCUCCAAAAGAGUAACGGAGGCGCGCAAAGGUUUCCUCAGCACGGACAGAAAUCGUGCGAAAGAGUGCAAAGGCAGAAGGAAGCUUAACUGAGAGACUGACAAGUCGACCAGAUACGAAAGUAGGUCUUAGUGAUCCGGCGGUAGUGAGUGGAAAUGCCGUCGCUCAACGGACAAAAGUUACCCUGGGGAUAACAGGCUUAUCUCCCCCAAGAGUUCACAUCGACGGGGAGGUUUGGCACCUCGAUGUCGGCUCAUCACAUCCUGGAGCGGAAGUACGUUCCAAGGGUUGGGCUGUUCGCCCAUUAAAGUGGUACGCGAGCUGGGUUCAGAACGUCGUGAGACAGUUCGGUCCUUAUCUGUCGCAGGCGAAGGAUAUUUGAGGGGAGUUGACCUUAGUACGAGAGGACCAGGUUGAACUUACCAAUGGUGUAUCAGUUGUCGUACCAACGGCACGGCUGAGUAGCUAAGUAGGGAAGGGAUAAACGCUGAAAGCAUCUAAGUGUGAAGCCCACCCCAAGAUAAGAUAUCCCAUACCGUAAGGUAGUAAGAUUCCACGUAGACUAUGUGGUAGAUAGGUUGGAGGUGUAAGUGCAGUAAUGCAUUAAGCUGACCAAUACUAAUAAAUCGAGGGCUUAACCAC